rnacentral:sRNA from 1 species
AGAUACGGAAAAAGUGCAGGCUGUAA